CAGCAGCCGCGGUAAUACGGAGGAUGCGAGCGUUAUCCGGAUUUAUUGGGUUAAAAGGGUGCGUAGGCGGUUUGUCAAGUCAGCGGUGAAACGCAAGGGCUUAACCCUUGACCUGCCGUUGAAACUGAUUGACUAGAAUGCGUAUGCUGUGGGAGGAAUGUGUGGUGUAGCGGUGAAAUGCAUAGAUAUCACACAGAACACCGAUUGCGAAGGCAUCUCACAAAUCCGUGAUUGACGCUGAGGCACGAAAGUGUGGGGAUCAAACAGGAUUAGAUACCCUGGUAGUCCACACUGUAAACGAUGAUGACUCGCUGUCGGCGAUAUACAGUCGGUGGCCAAGCGAAAGCGAUAAGUCAUCCACCUGGGGAGUACGACCGCAAGGUUGAAACUCAAAGAAAUUGACGG
rnacentral:rRNA from 1 species